CAUCACAACCAUCAAGCAGAAGAGAAUGAGGGACAGGAGGCACUCUGCCCAUCUGCCUGUGAGGAUCUGAAUCCUGCCCACCACCUUGUAGCUUGUGGUGAGAAGACCACGACAGCUUCUCUGCUUCUCAGGAACCUGUGCCAUGCCUAGAGGCAGAGGGCCUUCCAGCCUCAAUUCCUGAUCCACAGAACCUCAACCAGAACCCUGCCUGAUGUGCAGUGGGCAUCCGAUAGACAGUUGUGGAAUGAAUAAACAUUUGAAAUGUGCCAUCAGGGAAACCAAAGAAACCUUGGAAACGACGACAGGGUGACCAGAAAGGACUUCCCACAGAAGGAGCUCUCUGAGCUGGACUUGAAGGCCACAGGGAGAAAGAACAGCCGGUUGGUAAAUCCACAGAAGUGGAGGGCACAGAUGGUGGGAAGGGGACCCAGAAGCAAAGCGAAGAAGUCCUGAGACCACCCGCGGAGAACGGGCCUUGGGUGCCUCGUGGACCCACAGGGUUGGCCUUUGGAAGGGACCCAGCCCGGGAGCUCACGUCUGAAGCAGGGAGUUUCUUGAGGACCCUUCUCCAGGUUGAAAAGAACAAUCCAGCAGGGAGACAAAAUGGAUGAUGCAGUGGAGAGCAGAGGCACUGAACAGAUGGGCUCCAAGGAAGGCACAGGAGUCCUUAAAAGUACAAGGAAAGAAGGGGCAGAAGAGGAGGAUCAGAAGACCCGUGACUAUGGAAGGUCAGACAGGGUGCAACACACUGCUGACUUUGAAGAUGGGGAAGGGGGCCAUGGACCCAGAAUUGUGGGUGGAGGAAAUGGAUUGUCCUCCAGCUUCUAGACAGGAAUGAACACCAGCCUGCCAACACCUGAUCUGAGUCCAACAAAUCCUGUGGGGGACCCCUAACCUAUAGAACUUUUGGAUAAUAAACAUGUUCGGGCAGAGAGUA